UGUUAGCAUGUUAGCAGAGCGAUGCUACUGUGAACCGAGGAGCUAUUGUCUUGAUGUGAGCUUCUACUCAGGGUUUUUUCUUCCAGUUCAGAGCAGAAAUGUUUUUGUUAAUGUGGCAGGAUGAAUGUUAUCCCUCGGUCCAACCCACUUUCAGCCUGGCCCAUUAGGGGGCGCUAGUAUAAAUAGUGGCCAUUUGAGUGUCCCUGGAUCGCUUACCUGUGAUCUCCUUCUUGGUCACCUGACUCCCUGUUGGUGUUGCUGAGAUUAGUUACUCUUCUGAAGCCUCCAUCGCAGCUGGUAGGUGUUUACUCAUUGUAGUGUGUAUAUUACCUUGCUUGGUGGUAAACAGCUAUUGUUUGUAGGUCGUAGCUGUAGAAGCCUCCUCUGAGCCAUUCCGCUUACGUUUUAUGACACGGCUUACUUGGUAUGUAAUCAACUUCUGUUACGCUCUCUGCCUUCUGUUGUUCUUUUAUAGUAAUUAUUUAUUAUGCUUUGCAGGAAGUGUGGGCCUUAGUGUUGCACCAAGCUACGCAAACUGAAGGGCUGCUGCUUUGCUGUGAUGCUUUGCUUUGUUUUACUUUAUUUUUACUGUCUGUUCCGGCUGCGAAGUUUGCUUCCUACUGCUGCCAGCCUUUAAAGUGGACGUCGGCGUUGACAACGGCCAUAUGCAUGCCACGCGGGUCGGCUGGCGCGCAUACUGAUUGACUGACUGGAUAAUUAACUUAUAGCCGUGCAGACGGCAAGUUGGAGCAAUACGGCGAUUCCGUUUGCUCCAUAUUUUAGAGUUUUACCCAGAUUGUAUGUUUUACUGUUUGAUUUGUAGUUUGGAUUUUUGUUACGCCACUGGUGGGAGGCCCUUUUUCUAGCUGCAGAUCACCAGUGUGGUCCUGCAGUUGGGUUAUCCCCCAGCACGGCAUAUUAGUUUUGUUGUAAUAUAUUAAAUUUUCUUUGUUUCUUUUAUUCAGAUGCGGAGUGCUGACGUGGAGGAGACCAGGGUGCCUUGGUGGUGGGAUCCUCUGAGUGUACACACCUGCCUUGUUUAAUUUAUUAGUCACAGGUAGGCGGGGCCGUGUGUCACGGGAUGCUGACACACCGGCGGUACAUCAGACGUCAUUUGAUGGAGCGUUAUUUAGGAGCAGCGCGACAGACGUCUGGUGUCAGAGUAUUGCCACCUCCCCGAGUGCCGGAUCCAUCACCCGCUUACCUGUCAGCUGUUUGUGAAGCCGCAUUUCCGGGAUCACUACGGAGAUCAAUCUCAGCGUUUCUCCCACAUCCCGGGAAUCCUCGUCCGAGCCUGUACAGCCAGUGUGACAAAUCCAUCCUGCGUGUGCGGGUUACCCCUUUCCCUCCGAAUGCGUGUCAGCCCCCUUCCCCUGGUUUCCCUCUGUUUAUUUAUCAGCAUACAUAUCUUAUCCCACUGUA